UGACUNGAGUACAGAAGGGGAGAGUGGAAUUCCAUGUGUAGCGGUGAAAUGCGUAGAUAUAUGGAGGAACACCAGUGGCGAAAGCGGCUCUCUGGUCUGUCACUGACGCUGAGGCUCGAAAGCGUGGGUAGCGAACAGGAUUAGAUACCCUGGUAGUCCACGCCGUAAACGAUGAGUGCUGGGUGUUAGGCCCUUUCCGGGGCUUAGUGCCGGAGCUAACGCAAUAAGCACUCCGCCUGGGGAGUACGACCGCAAGGUUGAAACUCAAAGGAAUUGACGGGGGCCCGCACAAGCGGUGGAGCAUGUGGUUUAAUUCGAAGCAACGCGAAGAACCUUACCAGGUCUUGACAUCCCGAUGCUAUUCUUAGAGAUAGGAAGUUACUUCGGUACAUCGGAGGCAGGUGGUGCAUGGUUGUCGUCAGCUCGUGUCGUGAGAUGUUGGGUUAAGUCCCGCAACGAGCGCAACCCUUAUUGUUAGUUGCCAUCAUUAAGUUGGGCACUCUAGCGAGACUGCCGGUAAUAAACCGGAGGAAGGUGGGGAUGACGUCAAAUCAUCAUGCCCCUUAUGACCUGGGCUACACACGUGCUACAAUGGUCGGUACAACGAGUUGCGAGCCGGUGACGGCAAGCUAAUCUCUGAAAGCCGAUCUCAGUUCGGAUUGGAGGCUGCAACUCGCCUCCAUGAAGUCGGAAUCGCUAGUAAUCGCGGAUCAGCACGCCGCGGUGAAUACGUUCCCGGGCCUAGUACACACCG
rnacentral:rRNA from 1 species